GGACGAACGCUGGCGGCGUGCCUAAUACAUGCAAGUCGAGCGCGGGAAGCGGACAAUCACCCUUCGGGGUGUGCGUCCGUGGAACGAGCGGCGGAUGGGUGAGUAUCACGUGGGCAACCUGCCUGUAAGAUUGGGAUAACUCGCGGAAACGUGAGCUAAUACCGAAUGAAGUCUUUCACCGCCUGGUGAAAGGAUGAAAGAUGGCUCUUGAGCUAUCACUUACAGAUGGGCCCGCGGCGCAUUAGCUAGUUGGUGGGGUAAAGGCCUACCAAGGCGACGAUCAGUAGCCGGCUUGAGAGAGUGACCGGCCACAUUGGGACUGAGACACGGCCCAAACUCCUACGGGAGGCAGCAGUGGGGAAUAUUGCACAAUGGGGGAAACCCUGAUGCAGCGACGCCGCGUGAGUGAAGAAGUAUUUCGGUAUGUAAAGCUCUAUCAGCAGGGAAGAAAAUGACGGUACCUGACUAAGAAGCCCCGGCUAACUACGUGCCAGCCGCAGC
rnacentral:rRNA from 1 species